AUGGGAGGCCUUGGGAAGAAGAAGUAUGAACAAGGCUCAGCCACCAACUACAUCAUCCAGAACAAAGCCCGUAAGAAGCUCCAGCCAAGCCUGGCUGACUUCAGGCGGCUGUGCAUUCUGAAGGGCAUUUAUCCCCAUGAACCCAAACACAAGAAGGAGGUUAACAAGCGUUCUACAUCGGCCCGAACUUUUUACCUUAUCAAAGACAUCAGGUUUCUCCUCUAUGAAGCCAUCGUCAACAAGUUCCAGGAAUACAAGGUGUUAGUCCGGAAGCUCCAGAAGGCCUAUGGGAAGAGCAAGUGGAAACACUGUAGAGCAUCUAAAGGACAAUAAGCCCAACUACAAACUUGACCAUAUCAUCAAGGAAUGGUACCCCACGUUCAUCGAUGCCCUGCAGGACCUAGAUAAUGCCUUCUCCCUGUGCUUCCUCUUUUCCAGCUUCCCACAGACUGGCAAGGGCCACGUGCAGACCAUUCACCAGGGAGUUCAUGCACUACAUCAUGGCUGCUCGUGCCCUGCCACAAGGUCUUUCUGUCCAUCAGAGGCAUUCACUACCAGGUCAAGGUCCUGGGACAGCACCACUUAUGCCUUCUCCCAUGACCACCCAACAGACAUGGACUACAGGGUCAUGGCCACCUUCACCGAGUUCUAGGCCACCCUGCUGGGCUUUGUCAACUUCCGCCUCUACCAGUGGCUCAACCUCCACCACCCACUAAAGCUCAAGGGUCAGGCCCAAAGAGAGGCAAAGGCCAUUGAGGGCACCCAUGUGUUGGACUUAGCUCCAUGGAGAAAUUGGCAGCCCUCAGUGCCAGCCUGGUCUGCAUGGUGGUGCCUGCCACAGAGAAGGAGCCUGAGGUGGAUGAGUUUCCCGCCAAUGGGGAGACGUCAGCGCAGGAGAAGACCACAGGAAGGAGCUGGAGGCACAGGAGAAGCACAAGAAGCUUUCUGAGGGCCUAAAGUUCUUCCUGAACCUAGAGGUGCCCCGAGAGGACCUGGCCUUUGUCAUCAGGACUUUUUUGGGGGAAGUGUCCUGGGACAAGUCUUUGUGCAUUGGGGCCACCUAUGACGUCACGAACUCUCGCAUCACCCACCAGAUUGUCAACCGCCCUGGGCAGCAGACCUCCAUCAUUGGCAGGUGCUACCUACAGCCCUAGUGGGUGUUUGACUUGGUAAACGCUAGGCUUCUCCUCCCCAUGGCAGAGUACUUCCCUGGGGUGCAGCUGCCCCCACACCUUUCACCUUUUGUGACCGAGAAGGAAGGAGAUUACAUCCCACCUGAAAAGCUGAGGCUGCUGGCUUUGCAGCGGGGAGGGAACCCACGAAUCCUGAAUGCGUCGGAAGAGAAGGAGGAAGAGGAAGACGACAACAAAGGUUAUGGUGAUAAACGGGGAGAAAAUGAAGAGGAGGAGGAGGAAGAUGCAGAGGCUGGUUCAAAAAAGGAGGAAGAGGCCCAGCUGGCAGCCGUGGAGGAGCAGAGAAUGAAGGGGAAGACAGGCACCUUGAAGUUGGAGGAUGAGCAGCGGCUAGCCCAGGAAGAGGAGAGGGAAGCCAAAUGCCUGGCCAUUAUGAUGAUGAAGAAGCGGGAGAAGUACCUGUACCAGAAGAUCAUGUUUGGCAAGAGGUGAAAAACCAAGAAGCCAACAAGCUGGUGGAGAAGCGGAAAGCCCACGAUGAGGUGGUGAGGUCUGAGAAGAAGGCCAAGAAGCCAAGGCUGGAGUGAGUGCCGGUGGCCCCUCACAGGACAAAGGCCAGCUCCUAGCAGCUGGACGUGGCAGAGGCAGGCCAGAGGACCUAAGUGUGAUGGACACAGUCGCUCCUCUCCUCCUCCUUUCUC